rnacentral:misc_RNA from 1 species
AAUGUUAGGACUAGAAAGUAGAAAGCAAGAUUUAAUAUAUAAUACAUGCAAGAAUAACUGAAUGAUACGCAUUAUAAAAGGAACCACCUGAAAGUUAUAAACGUCCAGAAAAUGGUUACCGCUAGUCAUAAGUAAGGUAUGUGCAGAAAGCCCAAUUGGGCAUACUUUACAGAACAACACACAACAAAGAUAGCUAAAAGCAUGUCAGAAGCUCCAAUCUUCAGUAUACAUAAAUGUACAGCCCACUUCCACCAGACAACAUAUGGAUGGGCAAGAUAUAAACUCAAUGACUAUGU